CCCUUCCCAAUGUAGAGGUACUGUUAUGAAAAACAGGACUCUUAGUUUCAAUUAAAAAAUCCCUAGGCUGAAUCAUUUACUAUGCACACGGUUGUAUCAAACAUUUAUGGACAACAUUUGUCUAAACAUUCCUAAUCCUACACUAUAAAUCAAAAUAAGUGAAACUUUGCUUUACAAACAAGUAGCAUCACAUUUCAGUGGAUUAACAUAAACUUUGGUGUAUGUAAAUAAGCACUAGCUAGCCUGUGAAGGCAAAACAAGAAAGGAAG
rnacentral:lncRNA from 1 species